UCUGAAAGGCACCAUAUCAAUA
rnacentral:miRNA from 1 species